rnacentral:tRNA from 1 species
GCCGGAAUAGCUCAGUCGGUAGAGCAGCGCAUUCGUAAUGCGAAGGUCGGGGGUUCAAAUCCUCUUUCCGGCU